UAGGGAAUCUUCGGCAAUGGACGGAAGUCUGACCGAGCAACGCCGCGUGAGUGAAGAAGGUUUUCGGAUCGUAAAGCUCUGUUGUAAGAGAAGAACGAGUGUGAGAGUGGAAAGUUCACACUGUGACGGUAUCUUACCAGAAAGGGACGGCUAACUACGUGCCAGCAGCCGCGGUAAUACGUAGGUCCCGAGCGUUGUCCGGAUUUAUUGGGCGUAAAGCGAGCGCAGGCGGUUAGAUAAGUCUGAAGUUAAAGGCUGUGGCUUAACCAUAGUACGCUUUGGAAACUGUUUAACUUGAGUGCAAGAGGGGAGAGUGGAAUUCCAUGUGUAGCGGUGAAAUGCGUAGAUAUAUGGAGGAACACCGGUGGCGAAAGCGGCUCUCUGGCUUGUAACUGACGCUGAGGCUCGAAAGCGUGGGGAGCAAACAGGAUUAGAUACCCUGGUAGUCCACGCCGUAACGAUGAGUGCUAGGUGUUAGACCCUUUCCGGGGUUCAGUGCCGUAGCUAACGCAUUAAGCACUCCGCCUGGGGAGUACGACCGCAAGGUUG
rnacentral:rRNA from 1 species